UCUUUUGGGAGAGACGGAGCAGUCAGGAACGGGGGGGCGGAGGAGGGAUCACAAUUGGCCGCAAUUUCUGCUGCUACCGUGGCUGCCUGGCUCGCCAGCGGGGGUCCCGGCUUGGGGAAAGUUGCCUCGAAAGUUGGUCCACUCGCUCACUCAGACCUCUCUCCUGCAUCUCUUGUGUCUUUGCGUCCUGAUGCAACCCAGGAAGCCAACAGCGAAAAGACCAAUAACGGAAUUCACUACCGGCUUCAGCUUCUCUACAGCAAUGGGAUAAGGACGGAGCAGGAUUUCUACGUGCGCCUCAUUGACUCCAUGACCAAACAAGCCAUAGUGUACGAAGGCCAAGACAAGAACCCAGAAAUGUGCCGAGUCUUGCUCACACAUGAGAUCAUGUGCAGCCGCUGUUGUGACAAGAAAAGCUGUGGCAACCGAAAUGAGACUCCCUCAGAUCCAGUGAUAAUUGACAGGUUCUUCUUGAAAUUUUUCCUCAAAUGUAACCAAAAUUGCCUAAAGAAUGCGGGAAACCCACGUGACAUGCGGAGAUUCCAGGUCGUGGUGUCUACGACAGUCAAUGUGGAUGGCCAUGUCCUGGCAGUCUCUGAUAACAUGUUUGUCCAUAAUAAUUCCAAGCAUGGGCGGAGGGCUCGGAGGCUUGACCCCUCGGAAGGUACGCCCUCUUAUCUGGAACAUGCUACUCCCUGUAUCAAAGCCAUCAGCCCGAGUGAAGGAUGGACGACGGGAGGCGCGACUGUGAUCAUCAUAGGGGACAAUUUCUUUGAUGGGUUACAGGUCAUAUUCGGUACCAUGCUGGUCUGGAGUGAGUUGAUCACUCCUCACGCCAUCCGUGUGCAGACCCCUCCUCGGCACAUCCCUGGUGUUGUGGAAGUCACACUGUCCUACAAAUCUAAGCAGUUCUGCAAAGGAACACCAGGCAGAUUCAUUUACACAGCGCUCAAUGAACCCACCAUCGAUUAUGGUUUCCAGAGGUUACAGAAGGUCAUUCCUCGGCACCCUGGUGACCCUGAGCGUUUGCCAAAGGAAGUAAUACUCAAAAGGGCUGCAGAUCUGGUAGAAGCACUGUAUGGGAUGCCACACAACAACCAGGAAAUCAUUCUGAAGAGAGCGGCCGACAUUGCCGAGGCCCUAUACAGUGUUCCCCGCAACCACAACCAACUCCCUGCCCUUGCUAACACCUCGGUCCACGCAGGGAUGAUGGGCGUGAAUUCGUUCAGUGGACAACUGGCCGUGAAUGUCUCCGAGGCAUCACAAGCCACCAAUCAGGGUUUCACCCGCAACUCAAGCAGCGUAUCACCACACGGGUACGUGCCGAGCACCACUCCCCAGCAGACCAACUAUAACUCCGUCACCACGAGCAUGAACGGAUAUGGCUCUGCCGCCAUGUCCAAUUUGGGCGGCUCCCCCACCUUCCUCAACGGCUCAGCUGCCAACUCCCCCUAUGCCAUAGUGCCAUCCAGCCCCACCAUGGCCUCCUCCACAAGCCUCCCCUCCAACUGCAGCAGCUCCUCGGGCAUCUUCUCCUUCUCACCAGCCAACAUGGUCUCAGCCGUGAAACAGAAGAGUGCUUUCGCACCAGUCGUCAGACCCCAGACCUCCCCACCUCCCACCUGCACCAGCACCAACGGGAACAGCCUGCAAGCGAUAUCUGGCAUGAUUGUUCCUCCUAUGUGAAAGAAUUGCCUUGAAGAAUUGUAUUAAUGAAGAGGUUGGAUUCUGCUACAGAGAGUAAUCUGAUACAAGUCCCAGAGUGGAACUUUUAACUCAGGCCUUUUUAAGAGGAAUCACAAUAACUGCAGAUUUUUAAACAAACAAAAUCACCGACCUUGCAAAUACUGAAAUUGGAAGAGGGAUCUGCAAGUGCAGGGUGUUGGUAAAAGUUGUACCUCCCAAGUAUUUG
rnacentral:sRNA from 1 species